GUGCCAGCAGCCGCGGUAAGACGUAGGGUGCAAGCGUUGUCCGGAUUUAUUGGGCGUAAAGAGUUCGUAGGCGGUUUGUUAAGUCUGGUGUUAAAGACUGGGGCUCAACCCCAGCAUGGCAUUGGAUACUGGCAGGCUAGAGUGCGGUAGAGGUCCCGGGAAUUCCAGGUGUAGCGGUGAAAUGCGUAGAUAUCUGGAGGAACACCGGUGGCGAAAGCGCGAGACUGGGCCGUAACUGACGCUGAGGAACGAAAGCCAGGGGAGCGAAAGGGAUUAGAAACCCCUGUAGUCC
rnacentral:rRNA from 1 species